rnacentral:ribozyme from 1 species
GGUCACAUCCAUGGGUAGCAGAAGCAUUCACAGUGCAGCCCUGUCAGAUUCUAAUAAUUCUGUGAAUUCUGCU